rnacentral:lncRNA from 1 species
AACAAAUGGAGGGAAGGAAAGGAAGAGAGACAUACAAAGAAUUAAGAAUGUGUAAUCUACAUGAACUAACUCCCUGUGAUGAAGCACUCUUAAGGGGCUAUGCACACUCCCAGGAUGCCAAAGAUAACAUCUAGAUCAGCAAUUUCUCAUAAAUUACUGGAACAUGGAACAUGAAACAAGAAGGAGAAACCAGGAAUCCAAUAAUAAAUAUGGCAAGGUGCACAAAC